rnacentral:pre_miRNA from 1 species
CUACUACUCCCUCCGUCCGAAAAUACUUAUCAUUGAAAUGGAUCUAUCUAGAUGUAUUUUAGUUCUAGACACAUCCAUUUUGAUGACAAGUAAUUCCGGACGGAGGGAGUAUUAU